GCUCUUGUGUCCACUGAUCUAAGUUGACUGACUUCACCCUGGAAAUGUGCACACCAAGGUUCCUGUGAAUUCCUGCACAGCGGAUGCAGAUGAAUACGCCAAUGUUCCAGGAAGCCCAUCGUGGUCCUGUGAGGAAGGUUUUGAAGAAGUCUUAAAGUCUACACAGGGAGCUCUGAUGAUGAAGAAUGGAGCCUGAUCCAAUUCCAUGAGUCAUUAGAUCUUGUGUCCACAUCUUUGUUACAGGAAGAUGCCAGCAAUAAACAUUUAUGCACUUACUAUGAA